ACUGGAGCUGGUUUGCUUUCAUGUUCUGUGUCUGAUCCAGCCGCUUGCAAACAUCAGAGCAAGAGGAGGGGAGGAGAGGAUGGUGAAGGAUUUUCAAGAAGUAGCAAGCACCUUGAUGUGCCAGUUCCCUCUAUUUUGUAUUUGGACAAUGGCAAGAAGAACAGACGGCUAAGGUGUCUGCAUUACUUCGUGACUAGAGUCAAGUGAUACAGAAUACUAAUUUUGAGGAGGAUAUUUGGGAAGAUAGCAUUUUCGGAAGAAACUCUACCUCAGAACCCAACAGGGGUCUGAUGCAGAGAUGGCACCUUCAAACAAAGGACGAUGCUCUGUAAAGGAAGAUCUCUGGCCACUUACCUAGAAGAUAAGUCAGUGUGCUCCACAAUAUGCAUGGUUUCUAUAGCACAGAAUGGGAAUUUGAAAUGUUUCUUUGAUGACAGGAAAUCUACUAGCAGGUGGGUGCCUGGGACAAAAACCAAUUGACUAAGGCCCAGUUUCCCAAAGUGUGUGUCAUAGCACCCGGUGCCCCUUGCAGCUCCCUGGUACACUGCCAAACCAGCCAGGAGCAAUGUGGAAACUUUUCUUUGAUUU